GCGGCUGCCGCGAGUCGCGAGUGUGCUCAGCUCGUCCGCGCGGAAAGACGGCCAGUUUCUCCCUUCAAAUUGGCAGGGCAGUGGCCCUGAACACUUUCCCGAGUUCUCUGCCUCGUGCGAGAUCAACUCUAAGGAAGUAAAAUGCCCAAGGGACCAGCCAAGUUAGGGUGUUUCGUGUCGAAAGAUCAAACUAUACAAAACGCAGACAAUGUUUGCGUGCUCGUCGUCCACUACAACUUUAAGGACGCCAAGACCAAGCUAGAAGAAUCAACUCAG